rnacentral:rRNA from 1 species
CGUGGGUAACCUGCCCAAGAGAUCGGGAUAACACCUGGAAACAGAUGCUAAUACCGGAUAACAACAGAUGAUGCCUAUCAACUGUUUAAAAGAUGGUUCUGCUAUCACUCUUGGAUGGACCUGCGGUGCAUUAGCUAGUUGGUAGGGUAACGGCCUACCAAGGCGAUGAUGCAUAGCCGAGUUGAGAGACUGAUCGGCCACAUUGGGACUGAGACACGGCCCAAACUCCUACGGGAGGCAGCAGGUU